rnacentral:rRNA from 1 species
UUUCCGGUUGAUCCUGCCGGAGGCUACUGCUAUUGGGAUUCGACUAAGCCAUGCGAGUCAAGGUGUCUUCGGAUGCCGGCGUACGGCUCAGUAACACGUAGGUAACCUACCCUCAGGACUGAGAUAACCCCGGGAAACUGGGGCUAAUAUUAGAUAGAUAAAAGGUACUGGAAUGUUCUUUUAUCCAAAGCUUUUGCGCCUGAGGAUGGGCCUGCGUCCGAUUAGGUUGUUGGUGGGGUAAUGGCCCACCAAGCCUGCGAUCGGUACGGGCAGUGAGAGCUGAAGCCCGGAGUUGGGGACUGAGACAAGGCCCCAGGCCCUACGGGGCGCAGCAGGCGCGAAACCUCUGCAAUGCGGGAAACCGUGACAGGGGGAUCCCAAGUGCUCAUGCAUUGCAUGGGCUGUUCUUUGGUCUAAGUAACCAGAGGAGUAAGGGCUGGGCAAGACCGGUGCCAGCCGCCGCGGUAAUACCGGCAGCUCAAGUGGUAGCCGCGAUUAUUGGGCCUAAAGCGUUCGUAGCCGGAUAAGUAAGUCUUUGGUUAAAUCCUGCAACUCAACUGUGGGAAAUCUAGGGAUACUGCUUGUCUUGAGGCCGGGAGAGGUUAGAGGUACUCCUAGGGUAGGGGUGAAAUCCUGUAAUCCUAGGGGGACCACCUGUGGCGAAGGCGUCUAACUGGAACGGGUCUGACGGUGAGGGACGAAACCUAGGGGAACGAGCCGGAUUAGAUACCCGGGUAGUCCUAGGCGUAAAUGAUGCGAGUUAAGUGUGGGGGCAUCUACGAGAUGGCCCUGUGCUGUAGGGUAGCCGUUAAACUCGCCGCCUGGGGAGUACGGUCGCAAGGCUGAAACUUAAAGGAAUUGGCGGGGGAGCACCACAAGAGGUGGAGGCUGCGGUUCAAUUGGAUUCAACGCCGGG